rnacentral:rRNA from 1 species
UACGUAGGGGGCGAGCGUUAUCCGGAUUCACUGGGUGUAAAGGGAGCGUAGACGGCCGUGCAAGCCAGGAGUGAAAACCCGGGGCUUAACCCCGCGGAUUGCUUUUGGAACUGUCAGGCUGGAGUGCAGGAGGGGCAGGCGGAAUUCCUGGUGUAGCGGUGAAAUGCGUAGAUAUCAGGAGGAACACCGGUGGCGAAGGCGGCCUGCUGGACUGUAACUGACACUGAGGCUCGAAAGCGUGGGGAGCAAACAGG